rnacentral:rRNA from 1 species
UACGGGGGGGGCAAGCGUUGUUCGGAAUUAUUGGGCGUAAAGGGCGCGUAGGCGGUUCGGCAAGUCUCUAGUGAAAUCUCUGGGCUCAACUCAGAGUCUGCUGGGGAAACUGCCGGGCUUGAGUGUGGGAGAGGAGAGUGGAAUUCCCGGUGUGAGCGGUGAAAUUCGUAGAUAUUCGGAAGAAACACCAGUGGCGAAGGCGGACUUACUGGAC